AACGAACGCUGGCGGCAGGCUUAACACAUGCAAGUCGAGCGCCCCGCAAGGGGAGCGGCAGACGGGUGAGUAACGCGUGGGAAUCUACCCAGCUCUACGGAAUAACUCAGGGAAACUUGCGCUAAUACCGUAUACGUCCGAUAGGAGAAAGAUUUAUCGGAGUUGGAUGAGCCCGCGUUGGAUUAGCUAGUUGGUGGGGU
rnacentral:rRNA from 1 species